rnacentral:rRNA from 1 species
AUUGAACGCUGGCGGCAGGCCUAACACAUGCAAGUCGAACGGUAACAGGAAGAAGCUUGCUUCUUUGCUAACGAGUGGCGGACGGGUGAGUAAGGUCUGAGAAACUGCCUGAUGGAGGGGGAUAACUACUGUAAACGGUAGCUAAUAACGCAUAACGUCGCAAGACCAAAGAGGGGGACGUUCGGGCCUCUUGCCAUCGGAUGUGCCCAGAUGGGAUUAGCUAGUAGGUGGGGUAACGGCUCACCUAGGCGACGAUCCCUAGCUGGUCUGAGAGGAUGACCAGCCACACUGGAACUGAGACACGGUCCAGACUCCUACGGGAGGCAGCAGUGGGGAAUAUUGCACAAUGGGCGAAAGCCUGAUGCAGCCAUGCCGCGUGUAUGAAGAAGGCCUUCGGGUUGUAAAGUACUUUCAGCGGGGAGGAAGGGAGUAAAGUUAAUACCUUCGCUCAUUGACGUUACCCGCAGAAGAAGCACCGGCUAACUCCGUG